rnacentral:pre_miRNA from 1 species
GCUGGUCAAAUGGAACCAAGGCCGUCUUCCUGGGAGGUUUGGUCCCCUUCAACCAGCUA